GACGAACGCUGGCGGCGUGCUUAACACAUGCAAGUCGAACGGAAAGGCCUGCUUUCCCUUGUGGAUUGCGGGUACUCGAGUGGCGAACGGGUGAGUAACACGUGAGUGAUCUGCCCCCAACUUGGGUAUAAGCCCGGGAAACUGGGUCUAAUUCCCGAUAGGACUGCAGGGUGGUGCCUGUGGUGGAAAACGAUUUUCUAGUGGUUGGGGAUGAGCUCGCGGCCUAUCAGCUUGUUGGUGGGAUAAUGGCCUACCAAGGCGGCGACGGGUAGCCGGCCUGAGAGGGUGGACGGCCACAUUGGGACUGAGAUACAGCCCAGACUCCUACGGGAGGCAGCAGUGGGGAAGAUUGCACAAUGGGCGGAAGCCUGAUGCAGCGACGCCGCGUGGGGGAUGACGGCCUUCGGGUUGUAAACUCCUUUCGACCGCGAGGAAGCCACCUGGUUGGAAGGGUGGUGACGGUAGUGGUAGAAGAAGCACCGGCUAACUACGUG
rnacentral:rRNA from 1 species